AAAUAAUAAUAAACCUAAUAGAAUAAUAAACCUAACAGUAAUAGGAUUAAAAAAUAACAAAACUAUAACUUCCUAAUUCUACGAAGACUAUUAUUCCUAAACUUCCAAUACUGCACUUAUGUGUGGCUGCAUAUACAUUGCAACUUAUGUUCCUUAUAGAAGUUUGAUAUAGUUAUUUGAAGCGUUUAGGCCCAUUUUGCAUCACAUAUUGAGUGUUGAAGCUCUUGGAUAUUUAAAAUGCGUUCUUGGAUCAGCAAUUUAAUUUUCUAUCCUGAUAAAGGGUUAUAUAUAUAUAUAAUUAGUCUGAUAUGUGUGCUCUUAGUGUACAUUUGUCAUUCUACCUAUUAUUUGUAGCCAUCGAAAAGGAAAAGGACAAAAAGAAAGGAAGAAAUGGGCCCUCUCUACACAUGCCCACCCUACCAACUAUUUAGGAAUCACAAGCAUUGAUGAAAAUCCUACUACACAUUUGUAUAAUAUUCUUCUGUUCCUUCAACCCCUCCCUUCCCCUCUGCUUUUUCUUUCUUCUUUUUAUUUGGUUUCACCAGAAAUGAUUCUUAGAAUAGCUAUGGCUUGCAACAUGUUGCUGGUUUAUGCGUUUAUCAGGAUCUUCAUCUUCAAUAUUAAUAUUUUAUCUUUUCUAUUCACGCCUUUUCUAGUCCUCAUCUUUUUUCCAAACAAACCACAGUUCUAACCACAAGACUGAGUAUGUGAGUUUGCAAAGUUAGCUCCUGUUCAACUUUUAGAAGAGACUGAAAAGGCCAUUGGUGAUCCUCAACUUCUUAUUCAACAACAUGCGCUUGUUGAAAAAAGUUGUAAACUAAAGAAUAUUGAAGUGGCUGUUAAGAUGAAUGGAGAAACCCUUGAUCAAGAGAAGGCCCUUAAUUCUGAACUUGAAAAGGAUGUAGAGUGUGUCUGCCAAGGAGAAGAACUACUGUCAAAGGUUGAGUGCAUGAAAAGGAAAUUGCCAUUGCUGAAGUAUGAUAUGAAAAAGGCUGAAUACAUGGAAGCUAAAGAGCUGGAAAAG
rnacentral:misc_RNA from 1 species